GGAUUUCCUUAGUAGCUGCGAGCGAACAGGGAUAAGCCUAGCACUGUAGCCCGUGAUCGGAAACGUUUACUGGGCGAUGUAGUGUUUGGGAGAGUUCGUUUAACCAGAGUAUUUUUGACAAGUCCAAGUCCUUCUUGAAGGGGGCCACUCGCCCAGAGAGGGUGCCAGGCCCGUAGUGACAGUUAAUAUAUUCUGGUGAAUUUCUCCAUAGAGUCGGGUUGCUUGAGAGUGCAGCUCUAAGUGGGUGGUAAACUCCAUCUAAGGCUAAAUAUGACCACGAGACCGAUAGCGAACAAGUACCGUGAGGGAAAGGUGAAAAGAACUUUGAAGAGAGAGUUCAAGAGUACGUGAAACCGUUUAGGGGUAAACCUGAGAAACCCGAAAAUUCGAAUGGGGAGAUUCAAUUGUUUUACCGGUAAUGAACAAUGGUGCAGUAUUUUAAGAGACGAAUAUGAUAUGCAAUUUCGGUUGUAUUAUUAUAUUUGCUCUGCUGUCUAUUGUAUAAUUCAAUACCGGAGGCAUGCACUUCUCCCUUUGUAGGACGUCGCGACCCGUUGGAUAUUGCCAUCUACGACCUAUAAUGGAGACUAAAUGUAAUUUUAUUAUAUUUAGACAUAUAGUGAUCUGAUGGCUAUUCGACGGUAUUAGCACAGGUAUUGGGACGUCUAUCAAUUUUUUUUUUUAAAAAAUGGUAAGCGUUAUUUGGUAUAUGGCAAGUGUUCUAUAUAAUUAUGGAAAUCGGACCUAGUGCCGGUUCUGUAUAUAUAGUGCUGUUCGCUAUAAUAUCCUCUAACCGUCUUCUGUACCAGUCGGCGACGCUUCAGUUUUGGGUAAUUUCAGGACCCGUCUUGAAACACGGACCAAGGAGUCUAGCAUGUGCGCAAGUCAUUGGGUCUUUUAAUAUAAACCUAAAGGCGUAAUGAAAGUAAAUGUUUAUUUUAUGUAAACAUAGGGAAAAUGGGGGCGCAUUUGACGCUACCUCGCAUUCCUGGGGCGUCGCAUAUUCAUUGCGAAUAGCGGCGCACCAAGAGCGUACACGCUGG
rnacentral:rRNA from 1 species